rnacentral:rRNA from 1 species
UACGGGGGGAGCAAGCGUUGUUCGGAAUUACUGGCGUAAAGCGCGCGUAGGCGGACCUGCAAGUCGGGGGUGAAAGCCCGAGGCUCAACCUCGGAACUGCCUUCGAUACUGCGGGUCUCGAGUCCGGGAGAGGUGAGUGGAAUUCCUAGUGUAGAGGUGAAAUUCGUAGAUAUUAGGAAGAACACCAGUGGCGAAGGCGGCUCACUGGCCCGGUACUGACGCUGAGGCGCGAAAGCGUGGGGAGCAACAGG